GCUGCUUUGGCCGAGUGGUUAAGGCGGUGGUUUUAAGCUCGCUCUGCGAUCACCACUGACGCAAGUCGCAGCGGUUCGAACCCGCUAGGCAGCA